rnacentral:rRNA from 1 species
AGUGAAGCGGGAAAAGCUCAAAUUUAAAAUCUGGCGGCCUUCGGUCGUCCGAGUUGUAGUCUGGAGAAGCGUCUUCCGCGCUGGACCGUGUACAAGUCUCUUGGAACAGAGCGUCGUAGAGGGUGAGAAUCCCGUCUUUGACACGGACUACCAGUGCUUUGUGAUGCGCUCUCAAAGAGUCGAGUUGUUUGGGAAUGCAGCUCAAAAUGGGUGGUAAAUUCCAUCUAAAGCUAAAUAUUGGCGAGAGACCGAUAGCGAACAAGUACCGUGAGGGAAAGAUGAAAAGCACUUUGGAAAGAGAGUUAAACAGUACGUGAAAUUGCUGAAAGGGAAACGAUUGAAGUCAGUCGCGUCGUCCAGAACUCAACCUCGCUUUCGCUUGGUGCACUUUCUGGUUGACGGGCCAGCAUCAGUUUCGACCGUCGGACAAAGUCCUUUGGAAUGUGGCACCUUCGGGUGUGUUAUAGCCUUGGGUCGUAUACGAUGGUUGGGAUUGAGGACCGCAGCACGCCAUUUGGCCGGGGUUCGCCCACGUACGUGCUUAGGAUGCUGGCGUAAUGGCUUUAAACGACCCGUCUUGAAACACGGACCAAGGAGUCUAACAUAUGUGCGAGUGUUUGGGUGGAAAACCCGAGCGCGUAAUGAAAGUGAAAGUUGGGAUCUCUGUCGUGGAGAGCACCGACGCCCAUACCAGACCUUCUGUGACGGAUAUGCGGUUGAGCAUGUAUGUUGGGACCCGAAAGAUGGUGAACUAUGCCUGAAUAGGGUGAAGCCAGAGGAAACUCUGGUGGAGGCUCGUAGCGAUUCUGACGUGCAAAUCGAUCGUCAAAUUUGGGUAUAGGGGCGAAAGACUAAUCGAACCAUCUAGUA